AGCCCAUGGAGUCACAGAGGACUCCAUCGUCUACCCCUUAUCUUCCUCACUCUUCUUUCUUCUGUGCAAGGAGUUGAAUCGGGAGCAGCGGCGCCGGAGGAGGAGGGACUUGCUGAUCGUUACCACCCAGUGUCGCCGGAGCCGACACGGUAGCUCGCCGGAACACCUCACAGCUCCUCGGAGCUAGGUGAUUGAAGGAUUGGCACUCAAACCUAAGGUUGGUGGGCAAACUAAGGAGUAGGAUGAAGCAAAUUCUGGGUUGUUCUGGGCUCCACGGAGGGAAAGAAGCACGAGGAUCUUGCUCAAGCUUUAGUGAUUCAUGCAACUUGUGAAAGGUUCUCCCGAGGCUCAAGUUCAAUGGGAGGUAAUGUCUUUGGGUGGAUUUCUAUGCACGAAACGAAGCCAAACUGGAGGUUCCUCUGUUUUCGAUCAAAUGGUGUUCGGAUCAAUGGGAUGAUUCAGUUAUAUGAACCUCUGUUUCUUGAUGUAGCACAGUAGCAUGGACCUUGCCAGGUUUCUUCCAAGUAAUUCAUCGAAAAAAUAGAAAGGUUUCUUCUAAGCGGUUGAAGUCCUUGCAGUGUGCUGGUUGGGCUGCUGGAUGAAGUAUCUUCCUAUCUAUCAUUUCUCUUUUUAUCGUCCGAAGAGUUAUUCUAUCUUUCAGAAAUUCUCCCCAAGCUGUUGACAUAAGCGUAACCUGCUUUCUUUCGGAACAUGGGAGAGUGUAAGACAGGAAAGACCAGCAUAGAGAAGAGCAUGAAAGAAAAGAGAGUGAAACAGGGAGAGGAAAGGAGAAGAAUAGAAAGAGAUAGCGAGACAGAUGGGAGACUGUCUUUCUAUUCUCUUGAUUUUUUUGACAGGAUGGCUUAUCUACCUUUUCUCUUAACAGUUUUGUGCAAGGAUCUGCUGGUAAGCAAUGCUGGAAGUAAAAUAGAGAUGUUUAUAUGGUUCAUAGAUAAAAGGACCCCUCAGCAUUGUUUUGCUCACAAAUAUAUAUCGUGAAAGUAGCUAUUGUCCAAAAAAGAAGAAAUAAAUAAUAAGUUAUCAAUAUUAGUUAUAAAACAAAGAUCAGGUGUACUGCAAGUGAAGUCGUCUAAUUGUUAAAGUAGUUUUGAAGAUUUCGCUAUGCAGAGAAAGAACUAACAACAAACCCCAAAAGACAAAAGUUUGCCUUUCAUCAACUAAGUUGAUUUCUCCAUAUGAAAAUGUCAAAGUAAUUUUCAUCAAAAAAAGAAAUUGUCAUUGUAAUAAAUCCUUUCCAUUUUAUUACAUGACAUGCGCAUUGUUUCCUCAUAAAAUAGAAAGCUAUGAAAGAAGAAUGAAUCUACGAGAAUUGAAUCAACUGAAAAAACAGUCACUUUCAAAUGGAGCUCUGUUUGAGCAAAAUGAGGAGACCUCACCAUCAAUUCAUUAAGAUAAUGUUCAUUACCUACUCCAAUCUUCCUCCAUGCCUUACUUUUUUCUUCUGCAUUAGAUAACCCAUCACAGAGUUUAGUACAGAAAGAAAAUGAUUUAACAAGUUUUAUCAGAAAUUAGAAAAACUUCUUGGUGCAAUUUCAUAAGCUAUUUGAUCGGUUAAGGCAAGUGGCUAGCUGUGAGGACCGGCUGAGCUUGCCUCAAUUGGGGCCGGUCACAUUGGACCGCCCACAGAAGCGAGAGGAGGGACGCCGCCUCCACCGUGUGAACAGGGGUCACUCUGUUGCGGCGUGGUGUGAACGGAGGCCUCUGGCUGCGGCGCCGCACAAUCGAGUGCGCCCCCGAAAGCCAUAUCCCCUCGAGUUUCCGGCCGACCGUCGCCGUCGAAGACAUGACCGGAUGAAGGGCGGAGCCCCCAUCUCCCCCUCCAGAUAUAUCCCCCUUCUUCCUUCCCCGCUCGAGCCAAGACCUCUCCUCUCUCAUCAUCGUGACCCUUGCCCCACAGUCGCCACCUUUCCCCUAUUCCCUUCCCUCUAUGCGACGGCCAAAGGCCGCGGCCGGUCGCCACACGCUAACCACCUCCCCGUCCCCUGUUUUUGGAUCUUGUCGCCGCCCUCUCCCAGCCGUGAGCUUGCUGGCCUUUCCGACCUCAUAUCUCUCUCCUCUUCUCUCUCCCCUCCUGUGCCAACAGACACCAAGGUAGUGGGCCAUCGCCCUUUUCCUCCCCUGUUGCAGCCAUAGGACAGGGCAGCAGGAAGCCGCCGCACGGGGCCGCGGCCACCUCGUCGAUGAGCUGAACCCCUUCUUCCUCCCCGCUCUUCCUCGUUCUCUCUCUCUCUCUCUCUCCUUCUCCCUAUUUCCCUCCCUCUUUUCUCUCUUCUCUCUCCCGCUCUCUCUCCUGCGUGACGGCCGUUGGUCGUGGCACUGACGGCGCCCAAGGCGCCGACCGCCUGCCUCUUUCUCUCCCUCUCUCCCUCCCUCUCCGACGGAGGGGGCCGAGCCUUGCUUUUCUUUUCCCGUCUUUAUCUCUUUCACUCUCUCUCUUCUUCUCUCGAUCUCUCCCCUUCCCGUCUCUUGAAGUCUCUCCCUAUCUCUCCAUUCUCACGCCCCAAACCCAUCACGCAAAUGUAUUCUAAGAUAAAGCUUUAGAGAAUACACCCUCAAUAUUCUUUAAUAUCAUUAAACAUGAUCUCAAUUCACAUUAAAUAAUAAUAAUUUUAAUUUAUAUUAAAUAAUAAUGAUCUCAAUUUACAAUAAAUAACAAAAUAUGUACAAUUAUAAAAUACAUUCAUGGAAGCCGUAACAAUGAUGCCCUAUUUAUUCCUUCCUUUAACCUACCAUCUUAACCAUAACCAAACAUCAAGCAUCCUAUGACACUGAAAAAAAAAAAAAGGAAAAAAGGAGGAGGUUAUAGGCCUUAUAGCCCAGUAAAAAUAUCUGUACAUGCACACCAAUAAAAUGAUGUAAUAUAAUUUAAAAAUAGCAAUUGACACUAAUAUGAAAACAUAAAUUAUGAAAUUGCUUUUCAAAUAUCCAAUAUGACUCAAUUAAACCAACAAAUAUUUGCACAUGCAUUAGACAUCUGGCUUAUCAAAAGAGAUAUAUUGCAAAUAUCAACAAGUAAACCUUUAUUCAUCACCGGUUUCAUGUGUCUUAUCAUCUGUUUCUCAUUAAUUCAAUUCUAAGUUCAAUUGUAAUAUUUUUUGGCUUUGGACUAUCCAAGAUCAUGACUCAGUCUAAGACUGCUAAACAAAAUAUCACGCAUAAGCUCGUGGAGGCUGUCCCAUAUAAAAACCCGUGGAGGCUAUCCUGCGCAUAUGCCCGUGGAGGCUAUCCUGCGCAUAUGCCCGUGGAGGCUAUUCUAUAUAUAAGCUCAUGGAGGCUAUCCCAUAUAUAAGCUCGUGAAGGUUAUUCUAUGACGAGAUCUCAUGAUGCAACACUCAUGUGUUGUUUGCUACACCAAAAGAAAAUUCAUACUUCCUGCAGGGAGUCAAACAUCUCAGGGGGUCAUUUCU